GUCCUUUUGAUUAUAAUUUAAGGUCUGACCUGCCCACUGAAAUUAUUUUAAAUGGCCGCAGUAAUUUGACUGUGCAAAGGUAGCAUAAUCAUUAGUUUUUUAAUUAAAAGCUUGUAUGAAGGGUUGGACGAGAUAAAAUCUGUCUCUAUUUAAUUUAUUAUAAAAUUUAAUUUUUAAGUUAAAAAGCUUAAAUUUUUUUAAAAGACGAGAAGACCCUAUAGAUCUUUAUAGUUUUGAUUUUGAAUUUAAUUAAUAAAUUUUUAGGAUUUAUGAUUUAAACUAUUUUAUUGGGGUAAUAGAAAGAUUAAAAUAAUUCUUUUUUUCUUUAAACAUUUAUUUAUGUUUUUAAUGAUCCAAUUUUAUUGAUUAUAAGAUUAAGUUACCUUAGGGAUAACAGCGUAAUUUUUUUAGAGAGUUCUUAUCGAUAAAAAAGUUUGCGACCUCGAUGUUGGAUUAAAGAUUAGUUUAGGUGUAGAAGUUUAAAUUUUUGGUCUGUUCGACCAUUAAAUCUUUACAUGAUCUGAGUUCAGACCGGCGUAAGCCAGGUCGGUUUCUAUCUUUAAUAAUUUUAAAAUAUUUUAGUACGAAAGGACCAAAUAUUUAAUAUAUUUAUAUUUAAUUUUUUGAAUAUUAUU
rnacentral:rRNA from 1 species